AUUGAACGCUGGCGGCAUGCCUUACACAUGCAAGUCGAACGGCAGCACGGGAGCAAUCCUGGUGGCGAGUGGCGAACGGGUGAGUAAUGUAUCGGAACGUGCCCAGUCGUGGGGGAUAACGUAGCGAAAGCUACGCUAAUACCGCAUACGAUCUAUGGAUGAAAGCGGGGGAUCGCAAGACCUCGCGCGAUUGGAGCGGCCGAUAUCAGAUUAGGUAGUUGGUGGGGUAAAGGCUCACCAAGCCGACGAUCUGUAGCUGGUCUGAGAGGACGACCAGCCACACUGGGACUGAGACACGGCCCAGACUCCUACGGGAGGCAGCAGUGGGGAAUUUUGGACAAUGGGCGCAAGCCUGAUCCAGCAAUGCCGCGUGCAGGAUGAGGGCCUUCGGGUUGUAAACUGCUUUUGUACGGAGCGAAAAGGCUCUCUCUAAUACAGGGGGCUCAUGACGGUACCGUAAGAAUAAGCACCGGCUAACUACGUGCCAGCCGCCGCCGUAA
rnacentral:rRNA from 1 species